rnacentral:rRNA from 1 species
GACGAACGCUGGCGGCGUGCUUAACACAUGCAAGUCGAGCGGUAAGGCCCUUUCGGGGGUACACGAGCGGCGAACGGGUGAGUAACACGUGGGUGACCUGCCCUUAGCUCUGGGAUAAGCCUGGGAAACUGGGUCUAAUACCGGAUAUGACUCCAUGACGCAUGUUGUGGGGUGGAAAGCCUUGUGCGGCUAGGGAUGGGCCCGCGGCCUAUCAGCUUGUUGGUGGGGUGANGGCCUACCAAGGCGACGACGGGUAGCCGGCCUGAGAGGGCGACCGGCCACACUGGGACUGAGACACGGCCCAGACUCCUACGGGAGGCAGCAGUGGGGAAUCUUGCGCAA